CAGCCGCCGCGGGAAAACGGAGGGUGCAAGCGUUAAUCGGAAUUACUGGGCGUAAAGCGCACGCAGGCGGUUUGUUAAGUCAGAUGUGAAAUCCCCGGGCUCAACCUGGGAACUGCAUUUGAAACUGGCAAGCUAGAGUCUCGUAGAGGGGGGUAGAAUUCCAGGUGUAGCGGUGAAAUGCGUAGAGAUCUGGAGGAAUACCGGUGGCGAAGGCGGCCCCCUGGACGAAGACUGACGCUCAGGUGCGAAAGCGUGGGGAGCAAACAGGAUUAGAUACCCGCGUAGUCCCUGUCUCUUAUAC
rnacentral:rRNA from 1 species